rnacentral:rRNA from 1 species
GAGUUAGCCGAUGCUUAUUCCUCAGGUACCGUCAUUUUUUCUUCCCUGAGAAAAGAGGUUUACAAUCCAAGAACCUUCCUCCCUCACGCGGUAUUGCUCCGUCAGGCUUUCGCCCAUUGCGGAAAAAUUCCCC